AUACGUAGGGGGCGAGCGUUGUCCGGAAUGACUGGGCGUAAAGGGCGUGUAGGCGGCCGAUUAAGUCUGGAGUGAAAGUCCUGCUUUCAAGGUGGGAAUUGCUUUGGAGACUGGUUGGCUUGAGUGCGGAAGAGGUAAGUGGAAUUCCCAGUGUAGCGGUGAAAUGCGUAGAGAUUGGGAGGAACACCAGUGGCGAAGGCGACUUACUGGGCCGUAACUGACGCUGAGGCGCGAAAGCGUGGGGAGCGAACAGGAUUAGAUACCCUGGUAGUCCACGCGGUAAACGAUGAAUGCUAGGUGUUGCGGGUAUCGACCCCUGCAGUGCCGGAGUCAACACAAUAAGCAUUCCGCCUGGGGAGUACGGCCGCAAGGUUGAAACUCAAAGGAAUUGACGGGG
rnacentral:rRNA from 1 species